rnacentral:rRNA from 1 species
GUAGGGANUCUUCGGCAAUGGACGGAAGUCUGACCGAGCAACGCCGCGUGAGUGAAGAAGGUUUUCGGAUCGUAAAGCUCUGUUGUAAGAGAAGAACGAGUGUGAGAGUGGAAAGUUCACACUGUGACGGUAUCUUACCAGAAAGGGACGGCUAACUACGUGCCAGCAGCCGCGGUAAUACGUAGGUCCCGAGCGUUGUCCGGAUUUAUUGGGCGUAAAGCGAGCGCAGGCGGUUAGAUAAGUCUGAAGUUAAAGGCUGUGGCUUAACCAUAGUACGCUUUGGAAACUGUUUAACUUGAGUGCAAGAGGGGAGAGUGGAAUUCCAUGUGUAGCGGUGAAAUGCGUAGAUAUAUGGAGGAACACCGGUGGCGAAAGCGGCUCUCUGGCUUGUAACUGACGCUGAGGCUCGAAAGCGUGGGGAGCAAACAGGAUUAGAUACCCUGGUAGUCCACGCCGUAACGAUGAGUGCUAGGUGUUAGACCCUUUCCGGGGUUUAGUGCCGUAGCUNACGCAUUANGCACUCCGCCUGGGGAGUACGACCGCAAGGUUGAA